CGCUAUGAAAGGCAUUUUUUUAGUAACGUGUUGCAGGGGAAAUAGAAAUACCGAGCGUCUGUUAGUCCUUUCUUCGCCGGUUGUCUAUCCGGCUUUUGUUAUCGCUCCCACGUGUACAACUUUUGCAAUUUUUUUUUUAUAAAACUAUUCUAUAAAUAGGUUAUAAUAGGUUAAUAUCAGCAACAUCUAUGACAAGUUCUAAAAAGGUUGACGUAUUUAAAAGAGUUAUGCCCCUAAGAAGUAUUAUUUUUUUUUAGAAAAUGUCCUGUGAGCUGAACAUAUACAUGUAUCUCUGGGUUUUUUUUGUUGCUGUCCUUGAGUAAAGUUUCAAAGAAACAGUUUGAGACUUGAGAGUUGAGAAACUAUGAUAAUUGCAAAAGACAAGCAAAAAUUCUGAAUCACUGAAUAUAGACCAUCAAACAGAGCUGCCCCUUCUGCCAAAACAAAUCUCAAUUUUUCGGAAAACAUUUGAAAUACUCUGUAGAGCCUCCAGGAUUACUUGGACAUGUCUUCCCAUUUUAAAAUUUCUGUAUUCGGUCCUGUCUUUCAUGUAUUGUCAAAAUAUUAAUUUACAUGUAUAUAUAUAAGAAUUGCACUUCCAAUUUUCAUCAGGACGCAAAAAUUAAGCCAACUUGAAGGUUCUGUGUUGAAGGCCGUAUUGUAAAAUAAUACUGCUUACUUUAACUUCAUUGUCUUGGAUGGAGAGUUGUCUCAUUGGCACUCGUACCACAUCUUCUUAUUUGUGUACUAGUGUUGUACUCUCAUGUUGUUUUUGUAUCAGGAUUAUAUGUUCUACUAACCUCUAGUUUUCAGUAAGUGUUUAUUUCUGCCAAUUUAAAGCACAAGAGUGCACACGCUAAAAUGUAUCGCCUUCUUUACUAGUCAUUGAUAUUAUGUUGAUAGUCCUAAAUAUAUAGCUUUAUUACAACUGUCACAUAAAUUUAACAUUUACCAAGAAAACUAAACAUUGACCAAUGAACCAUGCCAGACAGACAGACAUGUACAGCUAACAAUUCUUCCGUACAACAAAUAUAGUUGACCUAUUACUUAUAAAUUAAGAAAAACAGACCAAAACACAAAAACUUAACACUGAGCAAUGAACCGUGAAAAUGAGGUCAUGGUCAAAUAAAACCUGCGCGACUGACAUAUAGAUCAUCAAAUAUUUCCAUACACCAAAUAUAAUUGACCUAUUGCAUAUAGUAUAAGAAAAAAGACCAAAACUCCAAACUUAAGUUUGACCACUGAACCAUGAAAAUGAGGUCAAGGUCAGAUGACACCUGCCGGCUAGACAUGUAAAUUUUACAAUAUUCCAUACAUGAAAUAUAGCAGACCUAUUGCAUACAGUACAAGAAAAAUAGACCAAAACACAAAAACUUUACUAUAACCACUGAACCAUAAAAAUGAGGCUAAGGUCAGAAGACACCUGCCAAUUGGACAUGUACACCUUACAGUCCAUCCAUAAACAGAAUAUACUAGACCUAUUGCUUAUAGUAUCUGAGAUAUACAACUGACCACCAAAACUUAACCUUGUUCACUGUUCCAUGAAAUGAGGUCGAGGUCAAGUUAAAAAGGAAG
rnacentral:lncRNA from 1 species